rnacentral:tRNA from 1 species
GAGGUUAUAGCUCAAGUGGUAGAGUGCAUGCUUAGCAUAGUCCUGGGUUCAAUCCCCAGUACCCCCU